ensembl:scaRNA
CGGGAGGCAGAUACCUGGGUAGUGCCAACUGGUGCUCUGUCUAACACUAGUCCUCCCUACAGCAGCCAUGCUCUCCGAUGACCGUGGCGAGUUGAGAGAAAUCGCCACGGACAGAUACGGAGCAAACACUC